rnacentral:lncRNA from 1 species
GGGCGUUGUUCGUGUGAGAGCGGAGGGUGGCGUGGCCUGCGGUGGUGGGAGUGGACAGGGGAGAGAAGGGAAUGGAUUAGGGGUAUAUUUUGGAGGUAGAACUAAGAGUACUUGGUGAUGGAUGUCGGUGGAGGGUGACGGAGACACAGGUUUAGAGGGUUCCUUUCAGGUUUCUGGUUUGAGCAACUAGCUGGGCUGGAGGGGGUUGGGUGGGAAAACCAGGUGUAGGCAGUGGUGGGGAGGGCAGACCCCAAGCUCACCUUUGGACAUGUUUGAGAUGCCAUGAGACACAUGAGGGAGCUGUCAAGUCAGCGCUGGGUCUGUAAGCCUGCAGGUGGGCUCAGGAAGACCACCCGGGUUGAGCUGCGUCUCUGGGAGCUGUGGGCCCAUCGAUGGUGUUGAAAGAGGUGAAAAGAAGUUCAGUCUCCCAAGGAGACUGUGGAGGUGAGAGGAGAGCGCCGGGCCUGAGCCUGAAGAGGUCAGUAGAUGGGGAGAUGAAGAAGGAAAGUCAGAGAGGAUGGUGGCAAGAAAGCCAAGAAAAGAGAGAGUGGAAGGCGUGUUAACUGAGGAGGAAGAUGGAGGCAUCUGGAACCACUGUGGGAUUCUGUGCAGAGAUUAGGAGUAAGGACAAUAAUGAACACUUAAGGACUCACCGUCUACCAGACAUGGGCUAAAUGCUUUACACCACUUCUCUUAGAUAAUUCUCCCAAGAACUCUGCAGCAUCUCCACUUUACGAAUGAGGAAACGGAAGCACAGCUGUCUUGGGCUUGCCCGGGGCCACACCGCUGAUAGCAGCGGUGCCAGGUCUCACAGUGGUUCUUACUGACUGGAGGCUCUGCACCCAACCAUGGCCCUCACUGCCUUGAUUCUUGGCCCAUACGGGCAAGGAUGGAUGUGCCUUAAACUCACCGUUGGUGCUUUAGAGCUUAGAUUGGGAGGUCUCACUUUAUUGGAGAAUAAACACGAAAACCACUUUGUUUUCUAGUAAUGCCUACUGGCUGUGCUGUGUUGACCAUGACCUGGGCAGCAGGUUCCCUUGGCAACUUCUCAAUUGGGUUCCAUAAUUUUGCACUCACUUCUGCUUAUUGCAACAGUCUCCUGGUUAUUGGAACUUACUCUCAUUCAUUUUGCAAUUUCAACUUCAACUUCAGAGUCCAUUCAGAGCUCCUUGCCUCCUCCCAGCCCUGGCCGUGUCCCUGGAGCCGAGGCUUGGAGAGGAGGAAGGCGUGGUCUGUUUGCUCGCACACCCUCCCUCUCUGUGCAUUUCCCCUGUGUGGUGGUGGUGGCGGGGGUUGGCUGGAGGGAUGGGACAGGGGCUUGCUUGCUUUCUUUCAGGAGGUCAUUGCCUGGUGCAGAUGUUGACCGUGGGUUUGGUGUGGAGAAGUGGAAACCCCAACAAGCCCCCAGGGGUCUGUUGGGAGCUCAGCAAUUUCUAAGCUUUGCGAGCCUGGACCCCAUCUUUCCGACGUCCCCCAGUGGUGGCCUGGUGCCACAUCCUCUUGUUGUCGCCCCGAUUUGGCUCAUGGCUCAGUGGUGUCAGGUGCGCCUGCAGCCCAGUCUCUCCUCUCCGUGGCCUCAUUGCUGGGCUUACGGCAGAGGUAGAUGCAUCUUUAGUUCUUCUGACGCUGGCACUCUCGUUCCAGCCACCUGGCUUCAGGUCCUGCUCGUUGGACAGGGCGGGAAGGCCAAAGGCUACGGAGCCCACCAACCCAGACGCCUUCCUCCGUUUCUUGCAGACGCUGCUAAAUGUGGUGAGGGAGGCUCUGAGGAGAGGGGAGCCACUCUCUUCUGUCACACAGCCUCUGAGUUCCCACGCCUCCCCCCUCACCUCCUCGUGAGGAAGAUCGGCAGGCCAGUUCUCCGCUUCUGCCCCCGAGCGCCGGAGCCCCCUUUGAGCCUGAAGAAUGUGGAACCUUCUGUUUCUGUGUUCCAUGUCUGGGGUCACGUCUAUGACCUCAGAGGUUGAGAGAAGACCCCAGUCAGGGCCUCACUGUUAGGGUUAGGGUUAGCUUGGUGCAGGGGACUGGAUUCCUCUCAGAAAGCUGGCUGCCACGGCAUCUCGGCAACUGUGAAUUUGUAGCUCUAGAGCACCCGGGAAGGGGUAGAAGGACCCGGGAUUGUCCCUUUAGGCUGACCUAGAGAGGAGCAGGGCCAGCUGUGGACUUUUCUCCCUGUUGCUUUGCUUUCCCGAGAGACAGGCCGCGUGAGAGGGUGGCACACUGAUCCUCUCUGGCCAUACAGGGCUCCCGGGGGCCACGAGCAGAGGUGUGGGGCCUGGUGGCCCUGGUCACCCUGAAAAAGGCAAAUCGACACUACAUCUUCCUCAGUCUUUGCAGGAACCGGGCCUGGUGAUGGUCACCAGGGCUCCUGAUGGAUAUGAUGACAUAGAGGCUGCCCUCGAAAUGCCAGCGAGGUGGUUAAAAGCACUGGCCAGAAUCAGGGACAGGUGCGCUGUUCCCCCCGCAACAGGCCAUGGUUCGGCUGGCAAAGUGAAUCUCACGACACGGCCUCCACGCUAUGGCGCGUCAUGGGGACUGCGCCAGGCUCUCUGCCUGUCGCUAAAAUGGGGCACGUGGAAAGACAGACGCAUCAGCCCGUUAUAUCGCAUCGUCCCUGCUCAGCUGACCUCAGCCUAGGAAUGAGUGAGAGAGACUCCCAACCCCAGUCCACCCACGCUUACGGCAAGAUUAUUUGGAGGGAAAAAAGCAUUCAGAGUUCCUUUUUUGGAGCAGUCACUUGAUGCAGGUGCUCAGAAAAGGUUUAAGCUGAAUCUGGCCCCGAUCAGCCAGUGAUUGACUGUGGAAGGGCACAGAAGCCUCCCCAGCUGCUUACGAAUGACAGGGCGCUGGCUGUGGACUGAGAGCCUGUGGGAGGGAGACUGAGUAUUUAUUAAAAUCUCUUUUGUCAGCCAGAUUUAUUUUCAUCUUUCUUCACAAGAUGUGAUAGUUUUGCAUCAGCGCAUCUAAGUGAAAUAAUUUGCUAAAGGUCAAAUGCAAUUCCCUCCAACCAGCUUUCACUUACCUUCUAAUUAACAACUAAAUGUCCACACAUACAUUAGCUUGAGGCUCAUGCAUACAAUAAUAACUACCAUUUAUUGAACACCUAUUAUGUCCCAGGCAUUGUGAAUACAUUAUCUCAACUUCUCACAAGCCCAGAAGGCAGGAAUACCCUUCACGGAGGAGAAAGAUGCCUGGAGAGGUGAAGAAAUCAGCCAGUGGUCAUGCAAAUUAGCAUCUGCAGCCAAAAGCUCCAGCUUUCUCACACUGGCUGCAGGGCAGCGGCUUCCUGCAAGGCUUUGAUGACUUGGGCCAUCUGCUGUUACUGACGAGAGGGAAGAUGAGAGAUCGGUAAGGAAGACUGUGACUUUCCAAGCCAAGCACUUCCCCACUGCAGCAAGUUGCAUUACCCAAAGUUUGCAUAACUUGAUGGUUGUUCUGGUGCUAAUAGCUGGGUAACUGAAGUGGGGACCUUCCAGAAAAGGGCCAGAAGUGCCUCCGCAAUGAUGAAAGCUUUGGGAAAUGGGCCAUCUGGGAAAUCUUCAGCUCUGGUGAGCGAAUGUGGAUCUAAGAAAGGAUGGGUCUUAGUAUGUCUCGGCUCAUAUUACUUCUCUGGGUGAAUGGGAGGCUGGAUGGGUCAAUGAAAAAGGUCUUCCAUUGCAGAAGCCAGGUAAGAAGCCAUUCUUCCUACUCUUCUAUUGACCUGCAGUAGCCCAGGCACUCGACGAAGGGAAAUUACAAAGGCUCCUGGUAUUAGGGCCAUACUGCUGACAAGAGAUUGUCACAUAUUGAGGUAUAUGGAGUAACCAUUCGAGUUCAGAACUGAUUCGGCUUGAGCUAAAAAGCCUGACUUACAGCCGAUCAAAGAUACAUUGUACAUCUGCUUAACCGUGAAAGUAAAGAAUGCUCUCUCUUAAGAGAAGAAUGCAGACUUCCCCUCCUCUGCCCUAUUGGGAGCAUGGGACGGGUCCCUUUCCUGACAUCAGGGUCACGUUGACCUGCUAAUUUGCCACUGCAUCCCUCUUUGAAAUUUUGAUGGAAAUGUAUCCUGGGUGUGUUUAAUGUAUGUUCUUUGUUCUAAAAAGAUAUAAGACUGUACUGACACCGGGCUGCUCCGGGAUGCCUUCUAAGGCCUUCCCGGGCUGUAAUCCUCACUCUGGCUCAUAGUAAACUCACCCCAAUUUUGACUUGUAGCUUGGCUGUGG